GCAGUCGUGGCCGAGUGGUUAGGGCAAUGGACUAGAAAUCCAUUGGGGUCUCCCCGCACAGGUUCGAAUCCUGUCGACUGCG
rfam:Ixodes scapularis strain Wikel colony gcontig_1108379122726, whole genome shotgun sequence.